rnacentral:rRNA from 1 species
GACAGAGGAUGCAAGCGUUAUCCGGAAUGAUUGGGCGUAAAGCGUCUGUAGGUGGCUUUUUAAGUCCGCCGUCAAAUCCCAGGGCUCAACCCUGGACAGGCGGUGGAAACUACCAAGCUGGAGUACGGUAGGGGCAGAGGGAAUUUCCGGUGGAGCGGUGAAAUGCGUAGAGAUCGGAAAGACCACCAAUGGCGAAGGCACUCUACUGGGCCAUUACUGACACUGAGAGACGAAAGCUAGGGGAGCGAAUGGG